rnacentral:rRNA from 1 species
UGGGGAAUAUUGCGCAAUGGGGGAAACCCUGACGCAGCGACGCCGCGUGAAGGAAGAAGGCCUUCGGGUUGUAAACUUCUUUGAUGUGGGACGAAGGAAAUGACGGUACCACAGGAACAAGCCACGGCUAACUACGUGCCAGCAGCCGCGGUAAUACGUAGGUGGCGAGCGUUGUCCGGAAUUACUGGGUGUAAAGGGCGUGUAGGCGGGAUGGCAAGUCAGAUGUGAAAUACCGGGGCUUAACCCUGGUGCUGCAUCUGAAACUGCUGUUCUUGAGUGCCGGAGAGGAAAGCGGAAUUCCCAGUGUAGCGGUGAAAUGCGUAGAUAUUGGGAGGAACACCGGUGGCGAAGGCGGCUUUCUGGACGGUAACUGACGCUGAGGCGCGAAAGCGUGGGGAGCAAACAGG